rnacentral:rRNA from 1 species
AUACGGAGGAUCCGAGCGUUAUCCGGAUUUAUUGGGUUUAAAGGAUGCGCAGGCGGCCAUUUAAGUCAGCGGUUAAAUCGUGGGGCUCAACCCCAUUCUGCCGUUGAUACUGGGUGGCUUGAUUGCGGUCGAGGUUGGCGGAAUUCGUUGUGUAGCGGUGAAAUGCAUAGAUAUGACGAAGAACACCGAUUGCGUAGGCAGCUGACCAGACCGCAAAUGACGCUCAUGCACGAAAGGGCGGGGAUCGAACAGAAUUAGAUACCCUGGUAGUCCGCACAGUAAACGAUGAAUACUUGUUUUCGGCGAUAUAAUGUCGGAGGCAAAGCGAAAGCGAUAAGUAUUCCACCUGGGGAGUACGCCGGCAACGGUGAAACUUAAAGGAAUUGACGGGG